AGAUUUGGAAUCCUGCAACGUAGGCUUCAAGAAGAAGCUAUUAUUUUCGCAUAUAGAGGUACGCGGGGUUGUCCUAAAUUUCGUAGGCAUGUUUUCAAAAGGGAAUUUAUGCAAGACUUUAAAUUUAUACAAAUAUAUAUAUGUUUUACAAAUGGGGGUUUUCAAUUGAUACAAAUAACAUGUUUUGAUUUAUGAUUUUGAAAGAAAUGUUGAGAUAUCAUGGGGUUGUUUAUUUGAAUAUAUUUUAAUGGUUAAAUUAUGAACACGUGACCUAAAAUUUCAAAAGGGUGUGAUGUACAUGAGUUGUGAAUUUCCUAAAUUCCCCAUGAUAAUGUUUAUACCCCAUAUCAUAUUUGUGUUAAACCAUUGAGAACAUGAGUUUUGCAAUCGAUAUGACUUUACUUAUAAAUUAUUAAACAUUCUUGAAUGAUUGCAUGUUGAGAACCAUGGUGUAUGUGUUUUAAUGGUGUGAAAGUCAUACAUAUGUGCAUGUUGUAAAUGGUAUAAGAAGUUGAUGUCAUAUUGAUGACUUGCAAGUCGAGUAUGACGAUACCCUGUAGAGAAUAACAUGUGAUUGAUUUAAAUGAGUUUUCAUGCAUUAAUUUUAUGAGCUAGGUAGUGACCCGAAGAAAGAACGAGUCACUACGCUGGAAGCCAUGUUUGCCGACUCGGGAACUUGGUACCCUGCUGUGUGAUCUUGUGUACCUGACAUUAUGUCAUCCUAAAUUAGGACUAUGACUAGGAGCCCUGCUUUGUGAUCUUGUGCACUACCAUACUUGAUUGGGUUGAGACACCCUGCUGUGUGAUCUUGUGUGUCUUUCCCUCACUUAUACUCUAAUCUCGGUGGUAACCUAGAUUUGACAGUUGGUGAAAAUGUGAAAUUAUAGGGUGUACCACCUAGCUCAGAUGUGUUGCAUUGUUGUUGAAAAAUCAUUAUACUAUGCCCAUGUAUUUUUGAAAUCAUUUUGCAAUAAUGUGUCUUAUUACAGCUCUCAUGUAUUUUAUAUAAAAUUCUCUACUUUGUUUUGGAUUUCUCUGCAUUCCAGUACUUUGUAUUGACCACCUUCCCUCUCAGUUUUGGAGGUACAGUCUAGGGGUCCAAAAAAUCAGUAGAUUCUUCAGAUAGAUUUGCAGAGUCGAGUGGUGAGCCUUCUAUAUUCUGGAAGGCCUGAUGUCUGGAAGUUUAUUUAUCUAUUUAAUAGUUUUGGGUCUACUGGGGACCUUGUCCCUUCUUUCAGACAUUUAUUUGUUUUAGUUAUGUAGUAGAGAUUUCGCAGACGGUUUUCAGAUGUCGAUAGAUGUUGUGGGAUGUUAUUUCCCAUUAUUGAUUUCAUUAGAUUUCAUGACCAUGUUUCCUUAACAUUGUGUAUCUUCUGCAUUUUAUUUUAUCAUAUGAAUUAUAUGUAUGAUUACCAGAUAGAUAGGGGUGUUUUGGGCCUUUGUGGUUUGGAAUGCUCAUCACGGCCAGGGCCCCAGUUUGGGUCGUGACAAACUUGGUAUCAGAGCACGGUUCAUGGUCCCAGGGUAUCUGCAAAAUCAUAUCAGGUAGAGUCUUAUUUAUGGGUGUAUAGCGAACCACACUUAUAAGCAGGAGACUACUAGGUAUUUAGGAAAUAUUUCCCUUCUUUGUGAUUUAGUUUGUGCUUCAGCGUUAAGUCUGUUCCUAAUCAGUGAUCUUUUGUCUUACAAAAACAACAGUCACGCCUCCUCAUCACAAUUCUAAUCAGAGUGCCCAAAAUGAUAAAGUCCGUCCCACUCAUGGGAUGAGGACACAUAAUAGAGCUCCCACUCUAGACCCUGUCCCUACUCCGGGAGUCCCAACCAGUCCACCUCGGGCUCCAUGGACCAAUGUCAACCGUCCUCGGACUUUGUAGGGGAAUAUAUCAAAUGCAGAGUUCAGGCAAUCUAUUCAUAGGCUAGCACAGUUGGUGGCUAUGCAGACUCAGCGGUUAGAAGAUACUGGGUCUGCAUCUAUUACUUCUGAAAAUACAGGUGAGCCAAUUUAUGAGGAUGAAUCCUCCCAAAUUCACAGGUACCAAAGUAGAAGAGGAUCUGUAGGAAUUUGUAAAUGAAAUGGAAAAGAUCUUUAAAGUGAUGCAUGUAGAUUAAGUAGAGGGGGUAGAAUUGGCGGUGUACCAUCUGAAAGAUGUGGCGAAUCAAUGGUACAAUGAUUGGGAAGAUGCGAAGGGCGACAAUGCUGAGCCCUGGGUAUGGAAUGAGUUUGUAGAUGCUUUUCUUGACUGGUUUUUUCCUUUAGAGUUGCGGGAGGCGAAGGAUGAGGACUUCAUGAACCUUAAGCAGGGUAAGAUAAGUGUUCAGGAGUAUACUAUAAAGUUUAAUCAGUUGGCUCGUUAUGCUCCUAAAAUGACGAGUAGUAUGAGGGCCCGAAUGAGAAAGUUUGUGUUCGGCCUUUCAGAUGAUCUGGUGCUUGAGUGUCAGGGAGAUAUGCUGAACAAGGAGUUGUAUUUUACUAGGCUGAUAGUUUAUAUGCAACAGGUAGAGGAGAAAAAGAAGAAGAAGAUUUCUAAAGCUAGGAAGAAAGACAGACAGGCAAAAAGAGCCAGACCUGCCGACCAGGGUCACAGUCAGCCUUAAGGCGGUAGGUGGGAAAAUAAAUGGUAGAAGAAGAAGAAUUGGAGUAAUGCAUAGAAUGUUACCAGCUCCCCAGCGCCUAGACCACCAACAGACAGACGAUCUCAGAGUUUCUAGACACAUCAUGGAUCCAGAGCCCCAGAUACUCAGUCGCAGGGCAGUGUGGCCCAGCAGCGCCGUACUUAUCCAUGGUGUGAGACUUGCUGAAAGAAUCACCCAUAGAGGUUUUAUUUUGAGGGGAUAAAUUUUUAUACUUGUGGCAAGGUGGGUCAUCUUUAGAGAGAUUGCCCUUCUACUGGAGGAGAUGCGGGGGGGACUAAGCCCCGAGCCGCGUUGGGGGGGGGGAGGGAGGAAGGGGCUAAGUCCUAAGCCGCCUCUACGGAUCCUCCUCCUAAGGGUGCUCCUUCUGCUGCCGGGAGCGGUCAUAACCAUUUAUAUACUUUAACUAACCGCCAGGAGGCGGAAGCUUCACUAGAUAUUGUCAUCGGUAUGUUACGAAUCUUUUUCCAUAAUGUUUAUAUAUUGGUUGAUCCCGGGUUUACCUUAUCUUAUGUGACCCCUUAUGUGGCUGUUGGUUUUGGUUUUGAGCCCGAAGUUAUUGUAGAACCCUUCACUGUUUCCACUUUUUUAGGUGAUUCUGUUGUUGCUAGAAGGGUGUAUAAAAAUUGUGUUGUGUAUAUUCUUAGCCGGGAUACUAUGGAAGACCUUAUAGAACUUGAUAUGGUAGACUUUGAUGCUAUCCUUGGGAUGGACUGGGCCCAUUCGUGUUAUGCCACACUUGAUUGCAGAACCUGGAAGGUUACUUUUUCUUUCCCAAAUGAGUCAUCAAUUGAGUGGGCAGGGAAUUCUAUGGCACCUAGAGGUCACUUUAUCUCUUAUCUUAGAGCCUGAAGGCUUAUCUCCAGAGGUUAUAUGUACCAUCUAAUCGAGUAAAAGAUUUUAGGGCUGAAAAUCUUCCUCUUUAGUCUAUCCCUCCAGAGGUCUUUUUCAAAGAUCUCCUAGAGAUACCACCUGAUAGAGAGAUAGAUUUUGGCAUUGAUGUAUUGACAGACACUCGUCCUAUUUCUAUUCCGCCAUAUAGAAUGGCUUCUGCAGAACUAAAAGAGUUAAAAGAACAGCUCGCAGACCUCCUAGACAAAGGCUUUAUUCGUCCUAGUAUUUCCCCAUGGGGUGCACUCGUACUUUUCAUGUAAAAUAAGGAUGGGUCCCUUCGUAUGUGCAUAGACUAUCGCCAGUUGAAUAAGGUGACUAUUAAAAACAAAUAUCCUCUUCCUAAGAUUGAUGAUCUUUUUGACCAGCUUCAGGGUGAUAAGUGUUUUUUGAAAAUAGACCUUCGUUCGGGCUAUCAUCAGUUGAAGGUUAGGGAGUCAGACAUUCCCAAAACAUCCUUUCGAACCCGAUAUGGUAACUAUGAGUUCUUAGUUAUGUCCUUCGGGUUGACUAACGCCCCUACAGCCUUCAUGGAUCUUAUGAAUAGGGGGUUCCAUCAGUUUUUAGAUUUGUUCAUCGCAGUGUUCAUUGAUGAUAUUCUGAUUUAUUCUAAAAGUAAGGAAGACCAUGCCAACCACCUCCGAAUUAUCCUUCAGACCCUUAAGGAUCAUCAGUUAUAUGCUAAGUUCUCCAAAUAUGAAUUCUUGCUGAAUGCUAUUGCCUUCUUGGGGUAUAUUGUAUCUAGUGACGGGAUUAGAGUGGAUCCCUAAAAGAUUGAGGCAGUGAGAAAAUAGCCCAGGCCCACGACUCCAACCGAUAUUUAGAGCUUCUUGGGCCUGACGGGUUAUUACAGAAGGUUUGUAGAGAGUUUUUCUUCCAUAUUUUCUCCGCUUACUAAAUUAACCCAGAAAAAGGUAAAGUUUGUGUGGUCUGACUUGUGUGAAAAUAGUUUUGAGAAGUUGAAAGACAAGCUGAUUACUGCUCCUAUUUUGACUUUUCCCGAGGGUGAAGAUAGUUUUGUGGUAUACUGUGAUGCAUCCCGUGUGGGACUUGGUUGUGUACUAAUGCAACAUGGUAAGGUGAUAGCUUAUGCAUUUAAAAGGUGCAUGAGAAAAAUUACCCGACUCGUGACUUAAAGUUAGCAGUAGUGGUGUUUGCACUUAAAAUCUGGAGGCAUUAUCUCUAUGGAGUGCAUGUUGAUAUUUAUACUGACCACAAAAGUUUGCAGUAUAUUUUCUUGCAGAAAGAAUUAAACCUCAAGAAGAGGCAUUGGAUGGAGCUUUUGAAAGACUAUAAUAUGAGCCUACAUUAUCAUCCGGGCAAAGUAAUUGUUGUAUCCACCGCUCUCAGCAGGUUGUCUAUGGGUAGUUUUUCUCAUGUUGAAGAGGGAAAGAGAGGUAUGGUAAAGGAUAUUCAUCGCCUUGCAAAUCUAGGAUGUGACUCUUAGAUUUUGAAAAUGGAGGGGUGAUUGUUCAUGAGAUAUCUAAGUCAUCCCUUUGUGCUGAAGCUAAAGAGAAGUAGGUUGAAGAUCCCAUCUUGAUGUAAAUCAAGAAAGACAUGAGUCAACAAAAGGUAAUGUCAUUUGAUAUUGUAGGUGAUGGUAUUCUGAGAUAUCAGGGUAGGUUGUGCGUUACGAAUGGUGAUGGAAUGUGGGAAAAAAUCCUUGAUGAGGCUCACACUUUGAGGUAUGUUGUUCACCCGGGCUCUACUAAGAUGUACCAUGAUCUGAAAACUUUGUAUUGGUAGAAUAACAUUGUAAUACCCCGUAUAUUUCUAAGCUAGGAGAUGAAUUAUUUUUCCUAUGUAUGAAACCUCCUAUACUGUGAGUAGCAUUUUAGUGCAUGACUUACAAUGAGUAUCCUAGCGAUAAGAUAGCUUAUGAUACAUUAAGCAUAUUCAUAUAAGUCACUUAAGGUAAUACAAGCUAAGAGUUUUUGAAUCCAUCAAGUUUUAGUGUUUGAUUUAGUAAGGGUCAUCUUUGAAUGAGUAUAACUCAAUGUUAAUGUGGUAUUUCUGCAUAUUUCUACCCACCAAAUUAUAGAUAAUCAAAUUAGCUUUUCAACGAUACCAAUUUCACCUUAAUCUAAUACCCGAGCAAACAGUUAUGCCCUUUUUCGUGAGAGACAAUAAGGAUAGGCGAUUGGUUAGGCGCCGCCCAACCUAGACAUAGGCGAUUGGUUAGGCGCCACCUAACCUACCUUAGGAAAUCACUUGGGCGCCACCUAAGUCAGUUCUAGGUGCCAAAAACACUCCUUUUUGAGUUAUUUUAAGGGUAAUUAAGUCUUUUAACACUCCUUACAGUCCCUAAACUUAACCCUAUAAAAUAUAUAGCUUUUAAACACAUUACAAUCCUAUUAACAUCUCAAAGCUCAUUAUCCAAGAGCACUAAAAGAGAAAAACAACUAGGGUUGCAUAAUUAAGCUUGAAGAUCCAAUUUCAAGGAAAUUCCUCCGCCAAUCAUCAAGAACCUCCCUUCCAAGGUAUGCGUAGUGUUCAUCUAUGGAUUCCAUUCGUUCAUAGAGCUCAAGAAUCAUGCUUUUAAAUGUUGUUUUGUAAACUUUUUGUGGUGAUAUGAAUAUGUACAUGUUGAUGAUGGAUGUUUAAGUUUCAAGAUGAUAUCUAAGGAUGUUUUCAUGAAAUAUAUGUAGUUGUUGGUUGAAAAUAAAGAACUUUGGGUGGUUUAAUAUAAUGCAAGUAUAAAAUACACCUAUACCUUAAAGAAUGCAUGCAAGGUGUUUGAUAAAAUGCCUAGGAUGCUAGAAAUUCCUAUUUACAUGAUUCCAUGAUAUUCACAUGACAAGUCCAUGUUAGCUAUACACUUCAAUAUGAAUUUCCAUGCUAAUUAUGUAUUCUUAUGGUAGUGGCAUGAAGCAUGUAUGAUGAUGAAGAUAUGAAUUAUGUAUGCAAAUUAUAUCCAUGAUUUUCCUACCAUGUUUAAGAUGUUGAAUAAAUACAUGAAGUUUAAUAUCCCCAAAUCAUUACAAUAUGAACUAAACGUUACAUGUUGCCAUUCCCUUACGCUUGAAUGGUUUCCAUGCGAUUGCUAUGAAUAGUAUAUGUUGUCGGAAUGCCUAUGAUAUUAGAAUAUGAGAUUUAUGACUUGAUUAUAAGCAUUCCUAUUCAUAAUAGAUAUUAUGAUGACCACGUACUUCAUAAAAUCCCCCACUCAUUUAUUAUGGAUUCUUAUUGAUGGUCGUGUACUGAAGAAAUUCAAGUUGUGUCAGUUUUCUUCCAUCGAGUCCUGGGGUAACUUGUACCCAUAAAAAUAUAGCUGUGUGUCUAGAGCCAUGUCAUGUUUUCAUGAUACUCUCAGUCAAUCCAUGAUCUAUAGAAUUCAGUCAGUCAUGUGACUCAGGAAAACUCGGAAAUCUUAGUAAUCUCAGCAGCCCAGUAAUCUCAGUAAUCUUAGUGCUCAGUAACCUCAGCAACCUCAGUAUUCACAGUCACUCUUAGUAACUUCAGUACUCUCAACCAGUCCUCAGAACUCAGUACAUUCCGUCAGUCAUUGGAAUCUAGUAAACUUAGUUUAGCUCUGCUAAACAAUACCACUAGUAUCAGUCCAAUUAAUCAGUAUCAGUUCAGCUAAUCAGUUCAGUUUAGUUAUUCAGUUCAGCUUAGUUAUUCGUUCAGUGUCCUUCAGAUGGGAGUAGAAGUUAGCACCGAGUAAACCCAAGGAUGGGAACUCACCCGCCAGUUCAGAGUGUGAUUCUUAGUAGUCAUCCUUGUGUUCCAAAACUAAGUAGCCAACGUAGGUUGAGACAUCUUAACCCGUCAAAUUAGGGUUGAUGAGAUGGCUUAACUCGUCAGUUUAGGGUUCCCACCGUUCUCAUUGAGUACCUGCCCGUAUAGGGUUUUCACAGCUGUCCUUACCAGUGGCGCGGUAUUAACACCCCUUCAGUUGGGGCAGAGAUUGGACCCCAACUUAGCUAUUAUAGAAUAUUUGAGGCAUGUCGGUUAGAUAACUUCUUCCCACAGUUUCAGUUACAGAUUUCAGGAUUGUCAGCUAUAGCUACCCAGUCUCAGUAAAGAACUUAGAUAGUUCUUCAGAUUUCAGUAUAUCAGGACUGUCAGAUACAGUCAACUCAGAAAUAGAAUUGAACUCAGAUAGUUUCCUUUAGAUUUAUGGAUUGUCAGAUACAGUCACUUAUGUUAUUAAUCACAAAAGUUAUCAGAACUCAUGCUAUCAGUACUCAACUUCAGGACAGUCAGAUACAGUCAAUCAGACCAGUUCUUCAUAAUUUGAAUUGUUAGAAACAAUCAUUCCUUUAUCAGUAAUAUAGUAUCAGUCUCCCAGUAUUCAGUAAUACAGUAUCAGAUCCAUCACUUAUUAGUGAUUUACAUAUCAAUAUCAGUAAACUUAGUCUUUCCGAAUCUCAUUAUCAGUACACUCAUGUUGUCAGUAUUCAGAAUCAGUAGUAAGUAUCUCCACUAGUUUAGUUACAGUUACGUAUGCAUGUAUGUACUCUCACAUUUAUAUCAGUCAGUAUUUUUCAUGCAUAUAACCCUUUGCAUUUAGCCUACCUCACUCGUAUACUCAGUACAUUCAGACGUACUGACGCAUUUGCGCUAUGGUGCUUUCUCUUAUGUUACACCAUAGGUUCAGAGGCAUGAGCUCCAAAUCAGCAGUAGAUUCCAGGAUCAGCAGUCAGAGUUAGACGUGAGUCCUCAUCCUUUGAGGACAUAAUGAUUUCAUUUCUAUUUUAGUUUUCACUUUAUUUUAGUAGUUGGAGUUAGUUGGGGACAUGUCCCAUCAACUCCUUAUUUAGUUCAGCUAGAGGCUUUUAGGCUAGAUGUCAGAUUAGAUGUUCAUACUUUAGUAUUUAUGUUCCUUUUUGGUAUUGUUAUACCAUAUUUUUUAAAUAUGUAUUAGUAUUGAACCUUAUGGCCUCACAGUUUAUGUUUCUGUAUAUUUUAUGAGAUAUUAUACAGUUUAUAGGUACAGAUAUCAGUCAUGGGUUAGGUUGUGGUCCCUCGGGGUCAUGAGCAUCGUGUACCAUUCCGGUUCAGCGAAUUGGGGCGUUACAAACAUGAAAUACGAUGUAGCUGAUUUUGUCUCCAAGUUUUUGAACUGUCAACAAGUGAAGGUAGAACAUUUGAGGCUAGGAGGUACUUCCCAAGAGAUAGCUAUGCCUUUAUGGAAGUGGGAGAUGAUAAAUAUAGACUUCAUUACAGGACUUCUGCAGUCCCGAAACCAGUAUGACUCUAUUUGGGUGAUUGUAGAUCGGUUGACAAAGUCAGCCUAUUUUUUGCCCGCGAGGACUAAUUAUUCGGGAGAUGAUUAUGUGAAGCUGUAUAUUGAGGAAAUAGUCCAUCUGCAUGGAGCACCUAUCUCUAUUAUAUCUGAUCAAGGUAUGCAGUUUUAUUCUUAGUUUUGGAAAUCUUUUCAAAGGGGUUUAGGUACCUAAGUGAACUUAAGCAAAGCAUUACAUCCUCAAACUGAUGGGCAAGCCGAACGCACCAUUCAAACCCUUAAAGAUUUUUUGAGGGAUUAUGUAAUAGAUUUCAAAGGUAUUUGGGUAGAUCAUUUGUCGUUUAUUGAGUUUGCUUACAAUAAUAGCUACCAUGCCAGUAUUAAGAUGGCACCAUUUGAAGCGUUGUAUGGGAGGAGAUGCAGGUCUCCGAUAAGGUGGUAUGAAGUUGGUGAGACACAGUUUUUUGGACCUAAUCUUGUUCAUCAGGAAAUGGAGGAUGUGAAAAUAAUCAGAGAAUGAUUUAAGACAGCUUAGAGUCAUCAAAAAUCUUAUGCCAAUGUUAGAAGAAGAGAUUUAGAGUUUGAGGUUGGAGAUUGGGUAUUUCUUAAAGUUUCUCCCAUAAAGGGAGUUAUGUGAUUCAGAAAGAAAGGUAAGCUGAGUCCUCGUUAUAUAGGACCAUACCGGAUUGUAAAGAGGAUAGGUGGAUUUGCAUAUGAGUUAAAGUUGCUUGCAAAUUUGGGUUUUGUUCACCUGGUAUUCGAUGUAUCAUGUUUAAAAAGUGCAUUGGAGAUCAUUCUUUAGUGUUGCCUGUUGAAGAAAUCAAAGUGAUCGAUUCCUUUUCUUAUGAAGAAGAGACUGUAGCAAUCUUAGAUCGUCAGGUUAGAAAAUUAAAGAGCAAAGAGAUAGCCUCAGUUAAAGUAUUGUGGAGGAAUCAAAAAGUUGAAGAAGCAACUUGGGAAUCAGGAAACAACAUAAGAGUUAGAUACCCAAGCUUAUUUGAUCCGGUGAAUGACGAGGUGGAAGGUACAAUCCUUGACUUAUACUUUCUAUGUCUUAGUAUGCUAGAAAAUCGUGCUUGACUCUAAUUCCACAUCAUCAUUCGGCGACGAAUGAUCCCAAGGGGGGGGAUAAUGUAACACCCCAUAAAAGUCAUGCAUGUACUAACUCUUAGUGGUGUGGUCUUAGACUUAAAAACAUAAAUUUUUUCUUUCUAAGUGCCAAAAAACUUAGACUCAUUUUUAGCUCGUAAUCUCCGGGGAUUUUAUUUUCAACAUUCCCGACCUCUAUUUUUAGAUUUUUUUAUUGUGUUACGAUGGGGCAAGGUUGUAGUACAUCUCGGGUGAGUUUUGGGAUUCUUAUAUGAGCAUAAGGUCAUAUUUGGGGUGCCAUUCCAGUGAGGUCCCAUGAUCUGCAAGCGUUACCUGGCAGAUCGCCUGGCCUGGAAGAGAGCCCGUGAUAGAGCAGGUGAUGCCUGGCCUAUAGCAGUGCUCUUGGGAAGGCGCCGCCUGGUGGAUCACCCCAGGCCAAAGUUUUCAGAUCCUCCAGGAAAUUAAGGGUAUUUUGGUAAUUGUCCAUUCCCCUAUCAUCUUAAACACGGGAUUUAAUCCCUAGAAAGCCAAAAUACACCCACAUUCAUCAUAUUUCUCCAACAACUCUCUCAAGGGUUUCAAAAUAAAAAUUCUAAUAACUCAAGAUUCCACCGUGGGUUUUCAAAAUUGACGGAAGAUUUGGAAUCCUGCAACGUAGGCUUCAAGAAGAAGCUAUUAUUUUCGCAUAUAGAGGUACGCGGGGUUGUCCUAAAUUUCGUAGGCAUGUUUUCAAAAGGGAAUUUAUGCAAGACUUUAAAUUUAUACAAAUAUAUAUAUGUUUUACAAAUGGGGGUUUUCAAUUGAUACAAAUAACAUGUUUUGAUUUAUGAUUUUGAAAGAAAUGUUGAGAUAUCAUGGGGUUGUUUAUUUGAAUAUAUUUUAAUGGUUAAAUUAUGAACACGUGACCUAAAAUUUCAAAAGGGUGUGAUGUACAUGAGUUGUGAAUUUCCUAAAUUCCCCAUGAUAAUGUUUAUACCCCAUAUCAUAUUUGUGUUAAACCAUUGAGAACAUGAGUUUUGCAAUCGAUAUGACUUUACUUAUAAAUUAUUAAACAUUCUUGAAUGAUUGCAUGUUGAGAACCAUGGUGUAUGUGUUUUAAUGGUGUGAAAGUCAUACAUAUGUGCAUGUUGUAAAUGGUAUAAGAAGUUGAUGUCAUAUUGAUGACUUGCAAGUCGAGUAUGACGAUACCCUGUAGAGAAUAACAUGUGAUUGAUUUAAAUGAGUUUUCAUGCAUUAAUUUUAUGAGCUAGGUAGUGACCCGAAGAAAGAACGAGUCACUACGCUGGAAGCCAUGUUUGCCGACUCGGGAACUUGGUACCCUGCUGUGUGAUCUUGUGUACCUGACAUUAUGUCAUUCUAAAUUAGAACUAUGGUUAGGAGCUCUGCUUUGUGAUCUUGUGCACUACCAUACUUGAUUGGGUCGAGACACCCUGCUAUAUGAUCUUGUGUGUCUUUCCCUCACUUAUACUCUAAUCUCAGCGGCAACCGAGAUUGAUAGUUGGCGAAAAUAUGAAAUUAUAGGGUGUACCACCUAGCUCAGAUGUGUUGCAUUGUUGUUGAAAAAUCAUUAUACUAUGCCCAUGUAUUUUCGAAAUCAUUUUGCAAUAAUGUGUUUUAUAACAACUAUUAUGUAUUUUAUAUAAAAUUCUCUACUUUGUUUUGGAUUUCUCUGCGUACCAGUACUUUGUAUUGACCCCUUUCCUCCCAGGUUCGGAGGCACAGUCUAGGGGUCCAGAAAAUCAGUAGAUUCUUCAGACAGAUUUGCAGAGUAGAGUGGUGAUCCUUCUAUAUUACGGAAGGCCUGAUGUCUGGAAGUUAAUUUAUCAUUUAAUAGUUUUGGGUCUACUGGGGGCCUUGUCCCAGCUUUCAGGCAGUUGUUUGUUUUAGUCAUGUAGUAGAGAUUUCACAGAUGGUUUUCAGAUGUCGAUAGAUGUUGUGGGACGUUAUUUCCCAUUAUUGAUUUCAUUAGAUUUCAUG
rnacentral:lncRNA from 1 species